GCCGUUGUAUAGCAGUGGUUAGCUUGUCGCCCUCCGAUGCUUUCGGAGGUAGGCGGAGGUAAGCUUGCCCAUCCAUGCCAGACAAGUCCCCCAGGUAUAAUUAAAAUAACUAAAGUGUGGAAUUCGGCGGAAUCAGACCCGGGUUCGAAUCCCGGCAGCGGUG
rfam:Gaeumannomyces graminis var. tritici R3-111a-1 unplaced genomic scaffold supercont2.7, whole genome shotgun sequence.